rnacentral:rRNA from 1 species
AGUGAACGCUGGCGGUAGGCCUAACACAUGCAAGUCGAACGGCAGCACAGUAAGAGCUUGCUCUUACGGGUGGCGAGUGGCGGACGGGUGAGGAAUACAUCGGAAUCUACUUUUUCGUGGGGGAUAACGUAGGGAAACUUACGCUAAUACCGCAUACGACCUACGGGUGAAAGCAGGGGAUCUUCGGACCUUGCGCGAUUGAAUGAGCCGAUGUCGGAUUAGCUAGUUGGCGGGGUAAAGGCCCACCAAGGCGACGAUCCGUAGCUGGUCUGAGAGGAUGAUCAGCCACACUGGAACUGAGACACGGUCCAGACUCCUACGGGAGGCAGCAGUGGGGAAUAUUGGAAAAUGGGCGCAAGCCUGAUCCAGCCAUACCGCGUGGGUGAAGAAGGCCUUCGGGUUGUAAAGCCCUUUUGUUGGGAAAGAAAAGCAGCAGGUUAAUACCCCGCUGUUCCGACGGUACCCAAAGAAUAAGCACCGGCUAACUUCGU